rnacentral:rRNA from 1 species
UACGGGAGGCAGCAGUGGGGAAUAUUGCACAAUGGGCGCAAGCCUGAUGCAGCCAUGCCGCGUGUAUGAAAAAGGCCUUCGGGUUGUAAAGUACUUUCAGUCGUGAGGAAGGUGUUAAGGUUAAUAACCUUAGCAAUUGACGUUAGCGACAGAAGAAGCACCGGCUAACUCCGUGCCAGCAGCCGCGGUAAUACGGAGGGUGCGAGCGUUAAUCGGAAUUACUGGGCGUAAAGGGCACGCAGGCGGUUAAUUAAGUUGGAUGUGAAAUCCCCGGGCUUAACCUGGGAAUGGCAUUCAAGCUGGUUAGCUAGAGUCUUGUAGAGGGGGUAGAAUUCCAUGUGUAGCGGUGAAAUGCGUAGAGAUGUGGAGGAAUACCGGUGGCGAAGGCGGCCCCUGGACAAAGACUGACGCUCAUGUGCGAAAGCGUGGGGAGCAAACGAGGAUUAGAUACC